AAAGAUUCCGCUGCUGAAGAAGAUGGGUGUCGCCGCCAAGCUUACCAUGCUGUUUCUAAUCUCCGUUGUUCUGCAGCAAGCUUGCAGUUACCCAUUCGAUGAAGACGUCUUUUUUGACCUCGACAAUGAAGGGGAAGUAGUGAAGAGGAACAGCCUCACUGAUUUAAUCCGCAUCUUGAAGGCAAAAGAAAAUUGGAGAAGCAGUCAUUUGAAAACACAUCAAGUUCGAUUUGGUGCCGGCGGAAAGUAGACACGACUAAAGACUGAUUAGGACUGAAUCGAGAUCCAUGUAAAUCAAAGUGCACUAAUGUUAUAGAAUUAUGUUAACAGUAUGUAAUAAAUAUCAAGCGCAUUGGU